UGGGGAAUUUUCCGCAAUGGGCGCAAGCCUGACGGAGCAACGCCGCGUGAGGGAGGAAGGCCUGUGGGUCGUAAACCUCUUUUCUCAGGGAAGAAGAUUUGACGGUACCUGAGGAAUCAGCAUCGGCUAACUCCGUGCCAGCAGCCGCGGUAAGACGGAGGAUGCAAGCGUUAUCCGGAAUUAUUGGGCGUAAAGCGUCCGUAGGUGGCUUGUUAAGUCUGCUGUUAAAGCCCACAGCUCAACUGUGGAUCGGCAGUGGAAACUAUCAGGCUAGAGUGUGGUAGGGGUAGAGGGAAUUCCUAGUGUAGCGGUGAAAUGCGUAGAUAUUAGGAAGAACACCAGUGGCGAAGGCGCUCUACUGGGCCAUAACUGACACUGAUGGACGAAAGCUAGGGGAGCGAAAGGGAUUAGAUACCCCCGUAGUCC
rnacentral:rRNA from 1 species